rnacentral:rRNA from 1 species
GACGAACCGUGCGAACGUUAUUCGGAAUCACUGGGCUUAAAGGGCGCGUAGGCGGGCCAGCAAGUCAGGGGUGAAAGCCCACGGCUCAACCGUGGAAGUGCCUCUGAUACUGCGGGCCUCGAGGGAGGUAGGGGCGUGCGGAACUUCCGGUGGAGCGGUGAAAUGCGUAGAUAUCGGAAGGAACACCAGUGGCGAAGGCGGCUUUCUGGGCCUGUUCUGACGCUGAGGAGCGAAAGCGUGGGGAGCAAACCGG